rnacentral:rRNA from 1 species
GAUGAACGCUGGCGGCGUGCCUAAUACAUGCAAGUCGAGCGAACAGACGAGGAGCUUGCUCCUCUGACGUUAGCGGCGGACGGGUGAGUAACACGUGGAUAACCUACCUAUAAGACUGGGAUAACUUCGGGAAACCGGAGCUAAUACCGGAUAAUAUAUUGAACCGCAUGGUUCAAUAGUGAAAGACGGUUUUGCUGUCACUUAUAGAUUGAUCCGCGCCGCAUUAGCUAGUUGGUAAGGUAACGGCUUACCAAGGCGACGAUGCGUAGCCGACCUGAGAGGGUGAUCGGCCACACUGGAACUGAGACACGGUCCAGACUCCUACGGGAGGCAGCAGUAGGGAAUCUUCCGCAAUGGGCGAAAGCCUGACGGAGCAACGCCGCGUGAGUGAUGAAGGUCUUCGGAUCGUAAAACUCUGUUAAUAGGGAAGAACAAAUGUGUAAGUAACUAUGCACGUCUUGACGGUACCUAAUCAGAAAGCCACGGCUAACUACGUG